rnacentral:lncRNA from 1 species
GGGACGACCCCGACAGGUGGGCCCCACCUGUCGGUGGCUCGGGCGCGCGCGCGCGGUCGGGCGCGGUUGGACGGGGCCGGUUCGGCCCAAAAUGGCCGGCCCGGUCCAUUUGCUCCCUUUUUUUUUCUUUUACCCUUUUCUUUUUCUGUUUUUCUCAUUUCUUGGAUACCUUUUGAGUUUGAACUCCAAAUUGGUCCAAAUAAAUUCCAGAAAAUUUGUAAAAUCAUGUUCUACCAAGAUACAACUUUUGGAAGUAGUGUCUUUUCAAAAUAAAAUAUGUAAAAACUACAUUUGUCCUAUAAAUGCUUUAGGGCCAUAUAACUAUUUAAAUAAAAUACUUUUUCAACUCCAAAUAAUUAUCCAAAAAUUAUGGGAUAGCUCAUAUAUGCAAUAAACCCCUUUCAUACUUGAACCUUAAUGGUUUGAAGAUCCAAAGUUCAAAUGGGUGUAAAUCCUAGGGUUUAAAAUGAAACAAAAAUCUUUCCAAAGCCCUUUUGAGAUUAAAAUUUGAAUUCAAAUAUGCAAUUGUGGCAUGAUGCUUAUGAAUGCAAUGCUCAUGUAAAGGUUUGAAAUUUUGGGAUGUUACAGACCUAACCCCCUUAAGAUGAAUCUCGUCCUCGGGAUUCGGUGUGGCUAGCAAAGAGGUGUGGGUGGUCUUCUCGAAGAUCAUCUUCGCGUUCCCAAGUGGCUUCUUCUUCUGUGUGAUGGUCCCACUGAACCUUGCAGAACUUGAUGGUCUU